UUAUUGGGAUAGUUUUUUUUUGAUAAAAAAUGUAACCCGAGAAUUUUUCCUCCAACAUUAAAAUGUUUACCCGGGAAUUAAUUAAAUUUAUUAAAAAACAAAACAAAAUUGGGUCUUAGGGUUAGGAAAAUCCCCAAUUCUCCAUUCUUUCUUUCCUCGAUCUUUCAAUACACCAAAAAGAACGGCUCACAUCUCACAUCUUCAAUAUGUAGAUUUUGCUUAAUUCUUAGUAGAUUUUGCUGAACUCUUGUCUUUGCUAUUACUUCGGGAACUCGUCUUAGUAGACUGCUUUACUAAGGUGUUUUCUGUGAAAUUGAUGCUUUACUUGGUAUAUUUUGAUAUGAAACUACUCCGUUGAAGGAAUCGGUAAGGAGCAGUUUCUGAUUUUCCAGUACAAUAUCUGUGAUUUUUAAGUUUUGCUAUUUUUGAGCUUUGCUUUUCUCCGAGCUUUGCUAUUUUUGAGCUUUGCUACUUCUCAGUUGAAGGAAUCGAUAUUCUCCAUUGAAGGAAUCGGUAUUCUCCAUUUGCAUGUAAGAAUCAAGUACCUAUUGUUUGUAAUUUACCUUGCAUGUGCUUUUUUUCAUAAUUGAAAGAAUUUUUAAGUGGAUUUUGUUCUCUUAGUCAGUUUUGUUGCAUUUUCUUCUUUCUGCUAGUGAAAGUACUGUAUAAAGGUGAAUAGAUUUGAUAUAAGAAAUAGAUCCUUUACAAAAUUUGAUCCUUAUCAAAAUUUUGACAUCCUUCAAGUGGAUUAUUUAGGGUUGGAUUGAAAUCUUGCACAAAGCCACAUGCUAACACAAUGUCAAUAUGGAUAACUGUCGAACUUUAAUGUAAAACGAAAAAGACAAAGGUUAGUCGGCAAGAUAGGAGGGUAAAAAAACAAAGAAACAUUAGGUUAAGAAAAGACAUGACUGGUGUUGGGGGGGAGGUUAGUGGUAGGUAGGUGACAAGGUUGCUGUGAGUCUAUCAAUCAGAUAAGUCGGUGAAGAAGAAGAACAGCUCCGGUGAACAUGGGUGUUGAACAUCCGGAACGUGUAAGACUUCUUGGAGGGGGGUUACAAAGACCUCUUUGAAAAGAUUAAAUGAUAGAUCUUUACCAACUUUAAAUAAUGCCACAAAUGAUGUUGUGCAACAAAUGCAAGAAAGGAUGCGAAAAAUGAAGGAUCAAAUCGAGGAGUAGAAGAGAACCAUUCGACAAGAAGUUGUUGCAGAUGUAAUUGCUCAGCUUCAGAAUGCAGAAAUAAUUGAUCCUAAGAUACUGGCAGCAUUGUCCAUUCCUUCACCAAUGGGAUCAACUUCAACACUAGCAGCUACAGAGAGAAACAGUCAAAACUGUAAAGGUGAUCAUGACAUAGAAGUGGCGGAAACGAAAUUGAUGAACUAGACUUGACCUAAGAGAUCGAUCACAUUGGCUUCAUGUUACAGUAGUUGUUGGAAAAACUUGUGUAUGUUUUGAUUGAGAUUGAUCACAUUUGACCGAGUAGUUUCAAACUUUUUUUUUUGAACAUUCAAAACUUGUGUAUGUUUUGAUUUUUUUGAAUGGUCAAAAAAUAUUUGGUUUCUUA